GACGAACGCUGGCGGCGUGCUUAACACAUGCAAGUCGAACGCUGAAGCUCAGCUUGCUGGGUGGAUGAGUGGCGAACGGGUGAGUAACACGUGAGUAACCUGCCCUCUUCUUUGGGAUAACGCCCGGAAACGGGUGCUAAUACUGGAUAUUCACUGAUUCUCGCAUGGGGGUUGGUGGAAAGGUUUUUUCUGGUGGGGGAUGGGCUCGCGGCCUAUCAGCUUGUUGGUGGGGUGAUGGCCUACCAAGGCUUUGACGGGUAGCCGGCCUGAGAGGGUGACCGGUCACAUUGGGACUGAGAUACGGCCCAGACUCCUACGGGAGGCAGCAGUGGGGAAUAUUGCACAAUGGGCGAAAGCCUGAUGCAGCGACGCCGCGUGAGGGAUGGAGGCCUUCGGGUUGUAAACCUCUUUCGCUCAUGGUCAAGCCGCAGCUUUGGGUUGUGGUGAGGGUAGUGGGUAAAGAAGCGCCGGCUAACUACG
rnacentral:rRNA from 1 species